rnacentral:misc_RNA from 1 species
CAGAAACUUAACUUUUAUACAGAGGUAAGAUUAAUUCACACAGCCAUCUUAGAAGUUACUGUCUUACUGACUCCAUUCCAUUUAAGUUCUUUCAUUUGCUCUUGGUUACAAGGAAAUACUUUCAAAAGUAGAGCCAUGGUCUGUUAUGAUCACAACCACCAUAUAAUGACUAUAUUUCUCAAUCCUAACUACCAUAAACAUGUACAGUAGCUGCAGCCAGUACUUGGUGAACCUCCACUGACGCAUUCUUUAAACUCAAAAAUGGUAAACACCAAAAUCGAACAGCAAUUUACCUAUCUUC